CACCCCAGCAAUGGGCAGAGACAUCUCGGUGAUGGUGGUGUUCUUGUAUCAGUCAGGGGCGGAGCAGAUGGCAGUCCUUUGUUCAUCCUAGCUUGAUGCCUGGUGUGGUGGCCAAGGGUGUUUUAUGCCUAGGACUCAUUU